rnacentral:lncRNA from 1 species
UUUUUUUUUUUUUUUUUUUUUGGCCACACCCACAGCAUGCAGAAGUUUUCCAGGCCAGGUAUUGAACCUGUGUCACAGAAGUGACCCAAGCCACAGCAGUAACAAUGCCAGAUCCUUAACCACUAGGCCACCGCACUAUCUUUCUUCAACAGUUUUGACACUCUUCUAAAAAACAUUUUGACCACAUAUACAAGAGCUUAUUUCUUGCCUCUAUUCUAUUCCAUUGGUCUAUAUUCUGUCUUUAUGUUAUGAUCACACUGUUUUGACUACUAUAGCUUUGUAAUAAGUUUGGAAAUCAGAAAGUGUGAGUCAUACAUCUUUGUUCUUCUUUUAAAAGAGUCUUUUGGCUAUUUGGGGUCCCAUGUGAUUCCAUAUGAAUUUUAGGAUAGGUUUUCUAUAUCUGCAAAAAUAUCAUUGAGAUUUUAGUAGGGAUGGCACUGAAUCUUUAGUAGAUUACUUUGGAUAGUACUGACAGCUAAACAAUAUUGUCUUUCAAUCUAUCAACGUGGGGUGUCUUCUUUAAACUUUAGCAAUGAUUUCUAAUUUUCAUUGUACAAGCCUUUCAACUCCUUGCUAAUUCCUAAAUAUUUUAUUCUCAUUGAUGCCACUGUAAAUGAAAUUGUUUUAAUUUUCUGUUUAGACUGAUGUAAGAUAUGCAGCUGAUUUUUUUGUGUGGAUUUUGUAUCCUGCUGCUUUGCUGAAUUUAUUUAUUUAUUUUGUUUCUGGACUUCUUUGUAGAAAAUUUAUGGAUUUCUACCUAUACAGCAUAUUGUCUUCACAAAGAGAAAAUUUUACUUCUUCCUUUCCAACCUGGAUUCUUUUUUCCUUCUUCUCACACUUCUCUGGCUAGGAUAUCUGGUACUAUGUUGAGCAGAAGUGGUGAAAUGGGGCACGUUUCCCUUGUACCUGAUCUUAGAGGAAAAGUUUUCAGUUUUUCAUCAUUGAAUGUGUUCUCUGUGGACUUGUCAUUAUACUGAGGUAAUUUCCUUCUAUUCCUAGUUUUAUCAUGAAAGGGUGUUCACUUUUGUCAAAUGCUUUUCUGCGUCAAGAUAAUUGUGGUUUUCUUCAUUUCAUUAAUGUGGCAUACAUAGCAUACUGCUCAGUUUGCAUAUGUUUUACCAUUCCUGCAUUCCAGGAAUAAAUCCCACUUGAUCAUGGUGGAUAAUCCUGUUAAUAUGAUGCUGAAUGAGGAGGUAUUUACAUUUAAAGUUUUUAUUUAACAAACUUAAGUUAUAUUUUGUGUGAUUACUAUUCUAGACAUUGUAAAAUUAUUAAAUAUUUUAAUUGGUAUAGUAACUCCAAGAGGUAGGUAGUAUUUUUAUCCCCAUUUUUCAAAUUAGUAAAGUGAGUCACACAGAAGUCAAGUAAGUUUCUCAAAGUCAUUUGGCCAACAAAUGACAGAUUGGGAUUUAGAUACAAUUAAGCUUGGCUUCAGAAUCCAAGUGCUUAACUACUGCUUUGCGCUGCCUUUUAGCAAGUGUCCUCAUCAAAGGCUACUACUUGACCUGUAGUUUCUACCUGAAUCAAAGCUUUUAGGCUUAUCAUUUUUAUUUCCACUUAAGUUUCCACUUGCAGGCUGCUACCACAAGCUUUCCUAUACACACUGGAGUGAGAUCCAGGCUGUUCUAUCAUAUAUGAUAUAUUCCCCCCUUUUCUCCAGUUGGUUACAGAUCUUGAUCCUAUUCUGGAAAAUAUGUAAAUACAUAAAUUACAUAUAAUACCAAGACAUUUAUUAUCAGUGUUUGCGCUGUCAGGUAGAUCCUGAGAUAAGAAAGCAUUUGAUAAGCUGGGAAGUACUAUAUAAGUGUCAGCUAUGAUUAACUAUACAGUAUUAUGUUACUCCAAGUUUCCCAUUAAGCCCAUAUUUCUUUUUAGUAUAACAUUUUAUGGGAGUGAAAACUUUCCUGAGUUUUAAGGAAGUGUAUAUUCUUGUG